UACCCAGGAAGCUCGGUUGGUUAGAACAUGGUCUGAUAGGCCAAGGUUUGCAGGUUUGAAUCCCAGUCAGGGCACAUACAAGAAUCAACCAAUAAAUGCAUAAUAAGUGGAACAUCUGAUCGAUGUUUCUCUCUCUCUCUCCCUUCC